rnacentral:misc_RNA from 1 species
GGUAGCAUUCCUCACGGUCAUCGGGUCGCAAGACGCCUGACACGCCAGUGCAACACCGAGAGUCGUUCGGUCAAAGCGCGUUCUGCGCUAGUUCUAAGCAGAUAGGGUUCGAAAACCCAUUGCCCCCAACGUAUUCUGCUUCCCGGAGAUCGGGCAGGCAAUCGAGGGCUGCGACAACUGCACAACGUGUGAGUGCCGCAGAACACGAUCGUCGCCUAGGGGUUCACCCAGAGCCACACCGCACAAACG